AACGUACGCUGGCGGCACGCCUAACACAUGCAAGUCGAACGAAGUAGCAAUACUUAGUGGCAGACGGGUGAGUAACAUGUAGGUAUCUGCCCUUUGGCCUGGAAUAACACGAGGAAACUUGUGCUAAUACCGGAUAAGUCUUUACGGAGAAAGCUUUAUGCACCAUUGGAUGGGCCUGCACUUGAUUAGUUUGUUGGUAGGGUAAUGGCCUACCAAGACUGUGAUCAAUAGCUGAUUUGAGAGGAUGAUCAGCCACAUUGGGACUGAGACACGGCCCAAACUCCUACGGGAGGCAGCAGUGGGGAAUCUUGCACAAUGGAGGAAACUCUGGUGCAGCGAUGCCGCGUGAGUGAAGAAGGCCCUUGGGUUGUAAAGCUCUUUCGUCGGGGAAGAAAAUGACUGUACCCGAAUAAGAAGGUCCGGCUAACUUCGUGCCAGCAGCCGCGGUAAUACGAAGGGACCUAGCGUAGUUCGGAAUUACUGGGCUUAAAGAGUUCGUAGGUGGUUGAAAAAGUUAGUGGUGAAAUCCCAGAGCUUAACUCUGGAACUGCCAUUAAAACUUUUCAGCUAGAGUAUGAUAGAGGAAAGCAGAAUUUCUAGUGUAGAGGUGAAAUUCGUAGAUAUUAGAAAGAAUACCAAUUGCGAAGGCAGCUUUCUGGAUCAUUACUGACACUGAGGAACGAAAGCAUGGGUAGCGAAGAGGAUUAGAUACCCUCGUAGUCCAUGCCGUAAACGAUGUGUGUUAGACGUUGGAAAUUUAUUUUCAGUGUCGCAGGGAAACCGAUAAACACACCGCCUGGGGAGUACGACCGCAAGGUUAAAACUCAAAUGAAUUGACGGGGACCCGCACAAGUAGUGGAGCAUGUGGUUUAAUUCGAAGAUACGCGCAGAACCUUACCAACACUUGACAUGUUCGUCGCGACUCUAAGAGAUUAGAGUUUUCGGUUCGGCCGGACGAAACACAGGUGCUGCAUGGCUGUCGUCAGCUCGUGUCGUGAGAUGUUGGGUUAAGUCCCGCAACGAGCGCAACCCUCACUUUUAGUUGCCAUCAUUAAGUUGGGCACUCUGAAAGAACUGCCAGUGAUAAGCUGGAGGAAGGCGGGGAUGACGUCAAGUCCUCAUGGCCCUUACGUGUUGGGCUACACACGUGCUACAAUGGUAUCUACAACUGGAAGCGAAGACUGCGAAGUUAAGCGAAUCCUUAAAAGAUACUCUCAGUUCGGAUUGCGCUCUGCAACUCGAGUGCAUGAAGCUGGAAUUACUAGUAAUCGUGGAUCAGCGUGCCACGGUGAAUGCGUUCCCGGGUCU
rnacentral:rRNA from 1 species